CAGCAAACAUAUGGUUGAGGCAUCUCGGAUCUUUUUGAAGAAUUUUCUUAUUAUACUUACUUGGAAGUUCAUAUACAAAAACCUUCAACCUUCCCACUGGAUCAUCUUCCAAUACAUCACCAGCACUACCUGCAAUUCUUUCAGUUGGUUGGUUUCUGCCCAGCUCCACGGCACCAAUUGUAAAGAGAAAAUAGGCACAAAGAAACCCCAAAAAACUGAAUUUCCACAUACCCAUUUUUGGUUCCCCAGCAAAGAAAUGAUUUUGGAUUGAAAAAUGGAAAAAGGGGAGUGAUGGUAAUGAAGGGUGGAACUCCAAAAGAAGGAAAGUAAGUGUUUAUUAUAAGGAAGUCAAUUCUGGUCAGAAGAAGAAGGUGAAGGUUGAGAAGUCACAUGGGAAAGUAGUUGUGGGAGGUUUCUUGGCAACGGGGUUUCACGAGAACACUUUGAAGAAGGAAAAGGACCUCAGCAGCAACAGAGAGAGACAGAUUUGAACAUUGAGGGACCAACAAACAGCAUGUGGAUUUAACUUGAAGAAACAAUGCUAAAGAAAAUUGAAGAAGAAGAAGAAGAAGAAGAAG